UACGGAGGGUGCGAGCGUUGUCCGGAAUUACUGGGCGUAAAGCGCACGUAGGCGGACUAUUAAGUCAGGGGUGAAAUCCCGGGGCUCAACCCCGGAACUGCCUUUGAUACUGGUAGUCUCGAGUCCGGAAGAGGUGAGUGGAAUUCCGAGUGUAGAGGUGAAAUUCGUAGAUAUUCGGAGGAACACCAGUGGCGAAGGCGGCUCGCUGGUCCGGUACUGACGCUGAGGUGCGAAAGCGUGGGGAGCAAACAGG
rnacentral:rRNA from 1 species